CCCAGACUCCUACGGGAGGCAGCAGUGGGGAAUAUUGGGCAAUGGGCGCAAGCCUGACCCAGCAACGCCGCGUGAAGGAAGAAGGCUUUCGGGUUGUAAACUUCUUUUAAGAGGGAAGAGCAGAAGACGGUACCUCUUGAAUAAGCCACGGCUAACUACGUGCCAGCAGCCGCGGUAAUACGUAGGUGGCAAGCGUUAUCCGGAUUUACUGGGUGUAAAGGGAGCGUAGACGGCAGUGCAAGUCCGGAGUGAAAGCCCGGGGCUCAACCCUGGGACUGCUCUGGAAACUGUAAAGCUGGAGUGCGGGAGGGGCAGGCGGAAUUCCUGGUGUAGCGGUGAAAUGCGUAGAUAUCAGGAGGAACACCGGCGGCGAAGGCGGCCUGCUGGACCGUAACUGACGUUGAGGCUCGAAAGCGUGGGGAGCAAACAGGAUUAGAUACCCCGGUACA
rnacentral:rRNA from 1 species